rnacentral:rRNA from 1 species
UUGACCUCGGAUCAGGUAGGGAUACCCGCUGAACUUAAGCAUAUCAAUAAGCGGAGGAAAAGAAACCAACAGGGAUUGCCUCAGUAACGGCGAGUGAAGCGGCAACAGCUCAAAUUUGAAAUCUGGUCCUUUCAGGGCCCGAGUUGUAAUUUGUAGAGGAUGUUUCGGGUGCGACGCGGGUCUAAGUCCUUUGGAACAGGGCGUCAUAGAGGGUGAGAAUCCCGUAUGUGACCCGUGAUCAAGCCCAUGUGAAACCCCUUCGACGAGUCGAGUUGUUUGGGAAUGCAGCUCAAAAUGGGUGGUAAAUUUCAUCUAAAGCUAAAUACCGGCCAGAGACCGAUAGCGCACAAGUAGAGUGAUCGAAAGAUGAAAAGCACUUUGGAAAGAGAGUCAAAAAGUACGUGAAAUUGUUGAAAGGGAAGCGCUUGCAACCAGACCUGUCCGCAGGCGAUCAAUUCCCGUUCUCGGGGGUGCACUCGUCUGUGAUCAGGCCAGCAUCGGUUCGGGCGGUCGGAUAAAGGCCUUGGGAAUGUAGCUCCUUCCGGGGAGUGUUAUAGCCCUCGGUGCAAUGCGGCCAGCCCGGACCGAGGACCGCGCCUUCGGGCUAGGAUGCUGGCGUAAUGGUUGUAAGCGACCCGUCUUGAAACACGGACCAAGGAGUCUAACAUCUAUGCAAGUGUUUGGGUGUCAAACCCAUACGCGUAAUGAAAGUGAACGGAGGUGAGAACCCUUAAGGGCGCAUCAUCGACCGAUCCAGAUGUCUUCGGAUGGAUUUGAGUAUGAGCAUAGCUGUUGGGACCCGAAAGAUGGUGAACUAUGCCUGAAUAGGGUGAAGCCAGGGGAAACCCUGGUGGAGGCUCGCAGCGGUUCUGACGUGCAAAUCGAUCGUCAAAUUUGGGUAUAGGGGCGAAAGACUAAUCGAACCAU